rnacentral:rRNA from 1 species
AUUGAACGCUGGCGGCAGGCCUAACACAUGCAAGUCGAACGAGUGGCGGACGGGUGAGUAAUGUCUGGGAAACUGCCUGAUGGCGGGGGAUAACUACUGGAAACGGUAGCUAAUACCGCAUACCAUCAGAUGUGCCCAGAUGGGAUUAGCUGGUUGGUGGGGUAACGGCUCACCAAGGCGACGAUCACUAGCGGGUCUGAGAGGAUGACCGGCCACACUGGAACUGAGACACGGUCCAGACUCCUACGGGAGGCAGCAGUGGGGAAUAUUGGACAAUGGGCGCAAGCCGGAUGCAGCCAUGCCGCGUGUAUGAAGAAGGCCUUCGGGUUGUAAAGUACUUUUAGCAGGGAGGCGUUACCUGAAGAAGAAGCACCGGCUAACUCCGUGCCAGCAGCCGCGGUAAUUC